rnacentral:rRNA from 1 species
UACGGAGGGAGCUAGCGUUGUUCGGAUAUACUGGGCGUAAAGCGCACGUAGGCGGCGCAGCAAGUCAGGGGUGAAAUCCCGGAGCUCAACUCCGGAACUGCCUUUGAAACUGCAGUGCUAGAAUUCUGGAGAGGCGAGUGGAAUUCCGAGUGUAGAGGUGAAAUUCGUAGAUAUUCGCAAGAACACCAGUGGCGAAGGCGGCUCACUGGCUCGAUACUGACGCUGAGGUGCGAAAGCGUGGGGAGCAAACAGG